GACGAACGCUGGCGGCGUGCUUAACACAUGCAAGUCGAACGAUGAAGCCCAGCUUGCUGGGUGGAAGAGUGGCGAACGGGUGAGUAACACGUGAGUAACCUGCCCUGAACUCUGGGAUAAGCACUGGAAACGGUGUCUAAUACUGGAUACGACCUAUCACCGCAUGGUGUGUGGGUGGAAAGAUUUAUCGGUUCUGGAUGGACUUGCGGCCUAUCAGCUAGAUGGUGAGGUAAUGGCUCACCAUGGCGACGACGGGUAGCCGGCCUGAGAGGGUGACCGGCCACACUGGGACUGAGACACGGCCCAGACUCCUACGGGAGGCAGCAGUGGGGAAUAUUGCACAAUGGGCGCAAGCCUGAUGCAGCAACGCCGCGUGAGGGAUGACGGCCUUCGGGUUGUAAACCUCUUUUAGUAGGGAAGAAGCGAAAGUGACGGUACCUGCAGAAAAAGCACCGGCUAACUACGUG
rnacentral:rRNA from 1 species